rnacentral:ncRNA from 1 species
UUAACACAUGUAAGUCAGAUGGGGAAGUGAUGUUUCCAGUGGCGGACGGCUGAGUAACGCAUAAGAACCUGUCAUUGGGAGGGGAAUAACAGUUGAAAACGGCUGCUAAUACCUGUAGGCUGAGGAGCAAAAUGAGAAAUUCGCCCAAUGAGGGGCUCGCACCUAAUUAGCUAGUUGGUGAGGCAAUAACUCAAUAAGACGAUGAUCAAUAGCUAGCCCGAAAGGAUGAUCAGCCACAAUGGGCUAAGACACGGCCCAUAAUCGAUAAAAAGUUG